UUGGAGGGCAAGUCUGGUGCCAGCAGCCGCGGUAAUUCCAGCUCCAAUAGCGUAUAUUAAAGUUGUUGCAGUUAAAAAGCUCGUAGUUGAAUUUCGGGGUUAGUAGGUUGGUCAUGCCUCUGGUAUGUACUGAUCUCACUGAUUCCUCCCUCUUGACGAACUGUAAUGUCAUUAAUUUGGUGUUGCAGGAAAUCAGGACUGUUACUUUGAAAAAAUUAGAGUGUUUAAAGCAGGCUAAGGCUUGAAUACAUUAGCAUGGAAUAAUGAAAUAGGACGUUUGAACCUAUUUUGUUGGUUUCUAGGAUCGACGUAAUGAUUAAUAGGGAUAGUUGGGGGCAUUAGUAUUCAAUUGUCAGAGGUGAAAUUCUUGGAUUUAUUGAAGACUAACUACUGCGAAAGCAUUUGCCAAGGAUGUUUUCAUUAAUCAAGAACGAAAGUUAGGGGAUCGAAGACGAUCAGAUACCGUCGUAGUCUUAACCAUAAACUAUGCCGACUAGGGAUCGGAUGAUGUUAAUUUUUUAAUGACUCAUUCGGCGCCUUACGGGAAAC
rnacentral:rRNA from 1 species